rnacentral:rRNA from 1 species
UACAGAGGUCUCAAGCGUUGUUCGGAUUCAUUGGGCGUAAAGGGUGCGUAGGCGGCGCGGUAAGUCGGGUGUGAAAUCUUGGAGCUUAACUCCGAAACUGCAUUCGAUACUGCCGUGCUUGAGGACUGGAGAGGAGACUGGAAUUUACGGUGUAGCGGUGAAAUGCGUAGAUAUCGGGAGGAACACCAAUGGCGAAGGCAGCUCGCUGGGACGGUACUGACGCUGAGACGCGAAAGCGUGGGGAGCAAACAGG